rnacentral:tRNA from 9 species
GCGCCCGUAGCUCAGCUGGAUAGAGCAACGGCCUUCUAAGCCGUGGGUCGCAGGUUCGAGUCCUGCCGGGCGUGCCA